AGAGUUUGAUCCUGGCUCAGGAUGAACGCUGGCGGCGUGCCUAAUACAUGCAAGUCGAGCGAACAGAUAAGGAGCUUGCUCCUUUGAAGUUAGCGGCGGACGGGUGAGUAACACGUGGGUAACCUACCUAUAAGACUGGGAUAACUUCGGGAAACCGGAGCUAAUACCGGAUAACAUUUAGAACCGCAUGGUUCUAAAGUGAAAGAUGGUUUUGCUAUCACUUAUAGAUGGACCCGCGCCGUAUUAGCUAGUUGGUAAGGUAACGGCUUACCAAGGCGACGAUACGUAGCCGACCUGAGAGGGUGAUCGGCCACACUGGAACUGAGACACGGUCCAGACUCCUACGGGAGGCAGCAGUAGGGAAUCUUCCGCAAUGGGCGAAAGCCUGACGGAGCAACGCCGCGUGAGUGAUGAAGGGUUUCGGCUCGUAAAACUCUGUUAUUAGGGAAGAACAAAUGUGUAAGUAACUGUGCACAUCUUGACGGUACCUAAUCAGAAAGCCACGGCUAGCUACGUG
rnacentral:rRNA from 1 species